rnacentral:rRNA from 1 species
UAGGGAAUCUUCGGCAAUGGGGGCAACCCUGACCGAGCAACGCCGCGUGAGUGAAGAAGGUUUUCGGAUCGUAAAGCUCUGUUGUAAGAGAAGAACGUGUGUGAGAGUGGAAAGUUCACACAGUGACGGUAACUUACCAGAAGGGGACGGCUAACUACGUGCCAGCAGCCGCGGUAAUACGUAGGUCCCGAGCGUUGUCCGGAUUUAUUGGGCGUAAAGCGAGCGCAGGCGGUUUAAUAAGUCUGAAGUUAAAGGCAGUGGCUUAACCAUUGUUCGCUUUGGAAACUGUUAAACUUGAGUGCAGAAGGGGAGAGUGGAAUUCCAUGUGUAGCGGUGAAAUGCGUAGAUAUAUGGAGGAACACCGGUGGCGAAAGCGGCUCUCUGGUCUGUAACUGACGCUGAGGCUCGAAAGCGUGGGGAGCAAACAGG